rnacentral:rRNA from 1 species
GGAGGAGCACGAAGGUUGGCUAAUCCUGGUCGGACAUCAGGAGGUUAGUGCAAUGGCAUAAGCCAGCUUGACUGCGAGCGUGACGGCGCGAGCAGGUGCGAAAGCAGGUCAUAGUGAUCCGGUGGUUCUGAAUGGAAGGGCCAUCGCUCAACGGAUAAAAGGUACUCCGGGGAUAACAGGCUGAUACCGCCCAAGAGUUCAUAUCGACGGCGGUGUUUGGCACCUCGAUGUCGGCUCAUCACAUCCUGGGGCUGAAGUAGGUCCCAAGGGUAUGGCUGUUCGCCAUUUAAAGUGGUACGCGAGCUGGGUUUAGAACGUCGUGAGACAGUUCGGUCCCUAUCUGCCGUGGGCGCUGGAGAACUGAGGGGGGCUGCUCCUAGUACGAGAGGACCGGAGUGGACGCAUCACUGGUGUUCGGGUUGUCAUGCCAAUGGCACUGCCCGGUAGCUAAAUGCGGAAGAGAUAAGUGCUGAAAGCAUCUAAGCACGAAACUUGCCCCGAGAUGAGUUCUCCCUGACCCUUUAAGGGUCCUGAAGGAACGUUGAAGACGACGACGUUGAUAGGCCGGGUGUGUAAGCGCAGCGAUGCGUUGAGCUAACCGGUACUAAUGAACCGUGAGGCUUAACCUUACAACGCCGAAGGUGUUU